rnacentral:rRNA from 1 species
UACGGGGGGAGCAAGCGUUGUUCGGAUUUACUGGGCGUAAAGGGCGCGUAGGCGGCCACCGCAAGUCGACUGUGAAAUCUCCGAGCUUAACCCGGAAAGGUCAGCCGAUACUGCGGGGCUAGAGUGCAGAAGGGGCAACUGGAAUUCUCGGUGUAGCGGUGAAAUGCGUAGAUAUCGAGAGGAACACCUGCGGCGAAGGCGGGUUGCUGGGCUGACACUGACGCUGAUGCGCGAAAGCUAGGGGAGCGAACGGG